rnacentral:rRNA from 1 species
UACCUUGAUCCUGGCUCAGGAUGAACGCUAGCGGCAGGCCUAAUACAUGCAAGUCGAACGGGUGGUCGCAAGACUACUAGUGGCGCACGGGUGCGUAACGCGUAACCAACCUACCCACCACUGGGGGAUAGCCCGCCGAAAGGCGGAUUAAUACCGCAUAAGACUACAGAGGGGCAUCUCUUCGUAGUUAAAGAUUUAUUGGUGGUGGAUGGGGUUGCGUAGCAUUAGCUAGAUGGCGGGGUAACGGCCCACCAUGGCGACUAUGCUUAGGGGACCUGAGAGGGUGAUCCCCCACACUGGCACUGAGAUACGGGCCAGACUCCUACGGGAGGCAGCAGUAGGGAAUAUUGGGCAAUGGCCGAGAGGCUGACCCAGCCAUGCCGCGUGCCGGAUGAAGGCCUUCUGGGUUGUAAACGGCUUUUCUCAGGAAAGAAAAAGGUCUUGCGAGACAAACUGACGGUACCUGAGGAAUAAGCACCGGCUAACUCCGUGCCAGCAGCCGCGGUAAUACGGAGGGUGCAAGCGUUGUCCGGAUUUAUUGGGUUUAAAGGGUGCGUAGGUGGCCGGGUAAGUCCGGGGUGAAAGCCCACAGCUCAACUGUGGAACUGCCCUGGAUACUGCCCGGCUUGAGAGUCGUCGAGGGUGGCGGAAUGGACGGUGUAGCGGUGAAAUGCAUAG